rnacentral:rRNA from 1 species
GGAAGGAUCAUUACCGAACUGUCAACAGGAGUUGUUGCUGGUCCUCAGACGGGGAUAUGUGCACGCUCUGUUUACACAUCCACUCACACCUGUGCACUCGCCGUAGUUCUAUGGUCUGGAAGACCCAGUCUUCCUUCUGUAGGCCUGCUUUUUUUACAUACACGCUGUAACAAAGUCUUAUGGAAUGUGUUCUGCGUUCAACGCAAUACAGUACAACUUUCAGCAACGGAUCUCUUGGCUCUCGCAUCGAUGAAGAACGCAGCGAAAUGCGAUAAGUAAUGUGAAUUGCAGAAUUCAGUGAAUCAUCGAAUCUUUGAACGCACCUUGCGCCCCUUGGCUAUUCCAAAGGGCAUGCCUGUUUGAGUACCGUGAACACCUCAACUCUCAUGGCUUGCCAUGAUGAGCUUGGACUUUGGGGGUUUUGCCGGCCUUGGGGUCGGCUCCUCUCAAAUAGAUCAGCUUGCCAGUGUUUGGUGGCGUUGCAGGUGUGAUAACUAUCUACGCUUGCGGCUGUCUGCCAGGUAACCUUCAGUAAUGGGGGUUCGCUGGAGCUUACAAACGUCCUUUCCCAGCGAGGACAGCUUUGAACGUUCGAUCUCAAAUCAGGUAGGACUACCCGCUGAACUUAAGCAUAUCAAUAAGCGGAGGAAAAGAAACUAACAAGGAUUCCCCUAGUAACUGCGAGUGAAGCGGGAAGAGCUCAAAUUUAAAAUCUGGCGUCCUCUGGUCGUCCGAGUUGUAGUCUGGAGAAGCGUUUUCCGUGUUGGACCGUGUACAAGUCCCUUGGAACAGGGCGUCGUAGAGGGUGAGAAUCCCGUCUUUGACACGGACUACCAAUGCUCUGUGAUGCGCUCUCAAAGAGUCGAGUUGUUUGGGAAUGCAGCUCAAAAUGGGUGGUAAAUUCCAUCUAAAGCUAAAUACAGGCGAGAGACCGAUAGCGA